CUCGAGUACAUGAAGUUGGAAUCGCUAGUAAUCGCAAAUCAGCAAUGUUGCGGUGAAUACGUUCUCGGGUCUUGUACACACCGCCCGUCACACCACGAGAGUUGGUUGCACCUGAAGUAGCAGGCCUAACCUUAGGGAAGGAUGCUCCGAGGGUGUGGUUAGCGAUUGGGGUGAAGUCGUAACAAGGUAUCCGUACGGGAACGUGCGGAUGGAUCACCUCCUUU
rnacentral:rRNA from 1 species